AUCCUACCUCAAACCCUUUACCAACCGUCCAAAAUUUUCUCUCUCCUCUAACUUUCACUCUCUUCGUGUUCAUCACUUUCUCUCUCCUCAAACCCCCAAAAAUCUCCAUAGAAAUUGCAAUUCGAAGGAUUUUCAAAUCAGGGUUCAAACUUUGCGGCGAUUUUCACUUUAACGGUUUUAGGGCUGGAAUUUCAGCGAUUUUAAUGUUCGAAUUUCAGCGAUUUUAGUGUUUAAAUUUCAGAAAUAUGAGCAAAAUGCAAGGCCAAAAUGUAGAAAAAUCAAAAGAAGAAGUUACUAUUAUACAAAAAAAAAAAAAUUACUUAUUCAAGAAAAAGUUGUUGAAAAUGUUGAAGCGGAAGUAAUUGACAAAGCGAAAUUUGAGAAACAUUUUAAAAGUCUAAAUAUUCUCAAACGACGUAGCAAGCUUCCAUCAAGGAUUCAACCACCUCGAAAAUUGAAAAAAAAGGAAGAAGAAGAAGAAGAAAGAGACAAAAAAGAAGUAAUGAAAGAAGAAGAAGAUGAUGAGGAUGAUGAUGGAGAUGAAGAUGAUAAGGAUGAUGUUGAUGAUGAGAUGGAUAAAACAAAGUUGGAGGAGGAAGAUGAUGAAACAGAGGACGUGGAAGAUGAUAGUAAAAAGGGUGUUCUGAGAAAAAAUGUGAAAAGUAAGAAAAGAAAGAUUGAAAAAGAAGAGGAUGAUGAGGAUGUCCAAGUAAUCAAAGAGGAAAAAAAUCUAAAUAAGAGGACAACUUAUCAAAGAGUUCCUGCUAAGCAAUAGAUGAAAACGGUGUUAAUAGGUCUUUCUGAUAAGCAUAAACAAGCAAUAAAGAAAAUUGGAUUUGGAGCUUUUUUGGAAUUGGAUGCACCAUUUUAUGCCGAUUCACAGUUGACGGAACAACUUCUUACAAAUUUUGAUCCCAAAAGAUGUUGCUUGAUGCUACCUGGGAGAGAAGAAGAAAUAUUCUUUGAUGAAAUUGAUGUUCACAUGGCAUAUGGAUUGCUAAUGGGGGAUGUCAAAAUUCAUGAACCACAAGAAGAAUUUGAUGUGGAAUAUGCAAAAUUUUUACAGAAAUGGAGAAAAAACUUUGACCUUGAAAAGGGUGCUCCAACAAAUGGACAAUUGAUUAGUAGGAUUGUAAAGGUGAAAGAGGUAGAUAAAGCAGAAGAUCGAGUUUCCGAUGAAUUCAUUUGGAAUUUCGUGGUUUGUGUGGUUAAUAGUUGCAUGUGUUCAACUAAUAGCACACAACUAUACAUUAAAUUAUUGUAUAGUUGUAGGGAUACGAAGAAUAUAGUUAAGUUGGAUUGGUGCAAGUUUAUUAAGGACCACCUGAUGGAAACUUCUCAGAAAUGGCUAGAUGGAGAAUCUUACUUUAUUGGUCCUUUAAUCUUUCUUACGGUAUCCUAUUUUGAUCGUGUACAAAGAAAAGGGUUGGAGCUACCACGGGGAGUUCCAUUAAUAGCAUUGUGGAACAAGGAAAGGUUUCAUAUAAGAAUAAAAUUUGAAAAAGACCUUGGAUUUGAAAAAGGAAAAGUACUAAAAAGACUAAUUGAAUAUGGGUGAAAUCAAGAAGAAAAAAUUGAAAAAUGCAAAAAAUAAAAAUGAAGAGCCAUUAAUGGUAAUUAUGCCUUUUAUAUUAUGCCUAUCUUUUAAAAAUUGUAAAUAAUAUAUUCUUACCUAUUGAUAUAUAUAAUUUUUGUAAUAACAAAAGUUAAUUUACUCAUAUUAUAACGUGUAGGAUGAGAAAAAAAAAACCGAAGGAUAAGAAAAAGAAAGAUGAAGGUCCAUCAAUGGAAGCAAGAAGUAAAAGAAGAAGAAGAAAAGAUCAGACAAGGAAAAAAAGAGGAAAGAAUAAGCUAAGCUACCUAUGUACUUAAUUGCGUUCACCUUUUAUGGUUAAUCAUGAAAAACUCUUCAGCAAUGUAGAUCAUAGAAUGAUAGCUGAAUAUGCUUUUGCUCAAGGAGAUAACGCGAGCUUUUUUAUGUUGACAAUUGGCACCGGUGAUUAGGAGAGAUGAUAUGGAUAGUCUUACAGGAAAUAAUCACAUGUUGAACAAUAUUGCAGAUGCUUAUGUUUUCAUAUUGAAUUAUGAAAACAAAAGGCGUGGUGUAGACAGAAAGAGUAGAUUAUUUUUCUCUACUGAAUGUUAUCUCAUUCUUUGUACCGAAAAAUACUUCAAAAACACUGAAAGUCAAGAUGAUAGAAAGAAAGCUUUGUUUAAGCAAAUGAAAAAGGAAAUGACAAAUGCUGAAGUAACAACCUCCAACAACAUUCAAUUGGUUUUCUUUCCGGUUGUUUUACCGGGUCACUAUUAUUUGUUGUGUGUCAACUUUUUGGAAGGAACACUUGAUGUGAUUGAUAAUAGAUUUCUUCCACCAAAAAUUUAUUUUGAAGAUAAAUAUGGAGAUGAGACUACAAAGAUGUUGAAGGCAUUUGGUGAAUUCUAUCAAGAAGUUGAUAAGAAGAGUGACAUUGUAUCCUCCUAUGAAACAAGAAACUUGAAUAUGAAAUGGAAGAGCAACAAGAACAAUCAUGAUUGUGGAGUGUUCCUAUUGAAGCACAUGAAAACAUAUGAAGGACAAUAUGGAAAACAAUGGAAUUCGGGACUAGAGAAGGACAAUGUACGUUUAGAACAAGACAUACAUGAUUAUGAAGUUUUCUUUUUGUGGUUUUAUUUGGUUGUGUUUGGUUAUGAAGGUUUUGGUGUUGAGGUUUGACUUGGUUAGUUUUUUUUUUUAUUUUUUUUUAUUUUUUUAUUAUUUUUUUUUUUUAAUCAUGCUCUAAAGAAAUUAUAAGUUGAGAAAUUCUACAUGGUGGCCUCAAGGAUAUAAAAAUUCUAAAUGAAUGAUAAUGUUUUUUUGCAUUCUCUUAAGUGGCACUCUAGAUUUUCAUAAUUAAGUAUAGUGACCUUUUUUUGAUUUUUUGGCUAACCAUUAGUUUUAUACUAAACAAACUAAUUAACCCCCUUCCCAACCACCAAACCUACCACCCACAUUGCCGCCAGCCACCAAACCCACCACCUUCACUGCCGCCAACCACACCAACACAAGCCCAUCGCCACUGCCCCCUCCCUAGCCUUACACCACCGCCAACCCCCAACCUUGCCAUACCCCACCGCCAGCCCCGAGCCAAACCUACCCAUCGCCAGCUUCGACCCAAUUUUACCAGCCCAAUCACGAAAACCACCCCCUUUUUUCCCCAGCCACCAUUUGAAACCCAAAACCCUAGCCACCACCCUCGAAACCCCAAUCCAGCCAUUGUACGACAUCAAAACCCUAGCCAUAAAAUAGUGAAAAGUACGGUAGCCCCUACCCCACACCUCGAAAAGGCCGGUGCUAGGGUUUCGAGUGUGUGAAGAGGGGCAACCGGACUUUUCCGGCAACUUUUAGGGGGUUUCGAUUGGUGGGGGCUGAGGUUACGGUGGUUAGGGAAGGGGAAGAGAAGGAGGUCAGGGUGGCGCCGGCGCCGAGGGAGGGGGGUCUGGGCGCGCCGGCACUGAGGGAGGGGGUCUGGGCGCAUUGGCGACGUAGGCAGUGGGUUUGGCAGAUGGCUGCUGGAUGGUGGUUUUUUUAAUUUUUUUUAAUAAAUUUUUUAAUUACUUAUGGUUAACCAAAAAUUAAAAAAGUUAGCCAAAAAAUCAAAAAUUGGGCACUACGCUUAAUUUUUCAAAACCUUGGUGCCACUUAAGAGAGUUGGAAAAAAGUUCGCCUUCCACGUAGAAAAACUGAAUCCUUGAGGCCACCAUGAAGAAUUUCCCUUAUAAGUUUAUGUUAUAAAGUUUUUCUGAUUAUGUUAUAAAUUACAUGUCUAUAUUUUAAAGUAGUUC